AAUGAACGCUGGCGGCAUGCCUAACACAUGCAAGUCGAACGAAGGCUUCGGCCUUAGUGGCGCACGGGUGCGUAACGCGUGGGAAUCUGCCCCUUGGUUCGGAAUAACAGUUGGAAACGACUGCUAAUACCGGAUGACGACGUAAGUCCAAAGAUUUAUCGCCGAGGGAUGAGCCCGCGUAGGAUUAGGUAGUUGGUGUGGUAAAGGCGCACCAAGCCGACGAUCCUUAGCUGGUCUGAGAGGAUGAUAAGCCACACUGGGACUGAGACACGGCCCAGACUCCUACGGGAGGCAGGAGUGGGGAAUAUUGGACAAUGGGCGAAAGCCUGAUCCAGCAAUGCCGCGUGAGUGAUGAAGGCCUUAGAGUUGUAAAGCUCUUUUACCCGGGAUGAUAAUGACAGUACCGGGAGAAUAAGCUCCGGCUAACUCCGUG
rnacentral:rRNA from 1 species